GACGUAGGGCGCGAGCGUUGUCCGGAUUUAUUGGGCGUAAAGGGCGCGCAGGCGGCCACGCACGUCCGUUGUGAAAUCGCUCGGCUCAACUGGGCGGGGUCAGCGGAUACGGCGUGGCUGGAGCAAGCUAGGGGGCAAUGGAAUUCCCGGUGUAGUGGUGGAAUGCGUAGAUAUCGGGAGGAACACCAGUGGCGAAGGCGGUUGCCUGGAGCUUUGCUGACGCUGAGGCGCGAAAGCGUGGGGAGCGAUCCGG
rnacentral:rRNA from 1 species